AAUUCUCAACCUCACCAACUUUGUUGUGUGAAGGCUUGGAUGUGGGGGUUGCAGGUCCGCACUCGUGUGGUCUGCUCCUCUAAAACGUAUUAGUGGGUUAGUCCCCUAAUCUAUUGGUGUGAUAAUUAUCUACGCCGUGGAUUUGGAAGGCUAUCAUAGACCUGCUUCUAACUGUCCUCUGGACAACCUUGACAA
rnacentral:misc_RNA from 1 species